rnacentral:tRNA from 1 species
GUCUAGGUGGCUCAGUCGGCUGAGCGUCUGAUUUUGGCUCAGGCAACGAUCUCAGGGUGCGAGGAUUGAGUCCCACCCUGGGCU